ensembl:snRNA U6 U6 spliceosomal RNA
GUGUUUGCUCCUGCAGCACAUAUGCUCAAGUUGGAACGAUACAGAGAAGAUAAGGAUGACCUCUGCUUAAGGAUGACAUGCAAAUCAAUGAAGCAUUUCAUAUUUUU